AUUGAACGCUGGCGGCAGGCCUAACACAUGCAAGUCGAGCGGACGACGGGAGCUUGCUCCUUGAUUCAGCGGCGGACGGGUGAGUAAUGCCUAGGAAUCUGCCUGGUAGUGGGGGACAACGUUUCGAAGGGAACGCUAAUACCGCAUACGUCCUACGGGAGAAAGCAGGGGACCUUCGGGCCUUGCGCUAUCAGAUGAGCCUAGGUCGGAUUAGCUAGUAGGUGAGGUAAUGGCUCACCUAGGCGACGAUCCGUAACUGGUCUGAGAGGAUGAUCAGUCACACUGGAACUGAGACACGGUCCAGACGCCUACGGGAGGCAGCAGUGGGGAAUAUUGGACAAUGGGCGAAAGCCUGAUCCAGCCAUGCCGCGUGUGUGAAGAAGGUCUUCGGAUUGUAAAGCACUUUAAGUUGGGAGGAAGGGCAGUAAGUUGAUACCUUGCUGUUUUGACGUUACCAACAGAAUAAGCACCGGCUAACUUCGUGCCAGCCGCCGCCGUAACAC
rnacentral:rRNA from 1 species